UACGUAGGGGGCAAGCGUUGUCCGGAUUUAUUGGGCGUAAAGAGCGUGUAGGCGGCUAGGUAGGUCCGUUGUGAAAACUCGAGGCUCAACCUCGAGACGCCGGUGGAAACCAUCUAGCUAGAGUCCGGAAGAGGAGAGUGGAAUUUACGGUGUAGCAGUGAAAUGCGUAGAUAUCGUAAGGAAGACCAGUGGCGAAGGCGAAUCUCUGGACAGUUACUGACACUGAGGCACGAAGGCCAGGGGAGCAAACGGG
rnacentral:rRNA from 1 species